UAAGAUAAUCUUGUUUAGGGCGUUCCCAGUUUAGGUUCCAGGUUUAAGGUUUAAGAUUAUUCCUGGAACCUAAACUGGGAACGCCCUAAACAA
rnacentral:miRNA from 1 species